ensembl:lncRNA
CGCCAACAUAGCUAAGGAUUUCUGGCAAAAGCAAAGACAGCUCUUGUAUGGGAACUGUUGAAUCAUGGCCUGAACCUCUGAUUGACCACCUGAGGCGAGCACUGACUCAGCCAUGGGAUCACAGGUGAAGGCAAUUCAGCUGUGUGGCCGGAAGGGGUGGAGCCAGGCUGCACCUCUCCUAGACCCCAUUUAAGAGCUGACUGCCACUGGAGAAAGAUCUCUUCCUGGAGAUUGCUCCUUGUGGAGUUUCUGUGAGCCUACAACACCGUGGACCCAGUAAAUGGGACUGGCUGUUGCAACCUGCUGGUGGCACUUGAGACAAGCUGUGGGGCAGUGGGAGCCCACUGUGGGGAGUGGGAAAUAGCUCUGGGCUCCCCAUGAAGUCAAUACCUGGCAGCAGCUUCACUGCAGGCACAGCACAACCAAGUCCAGCUCCUGCACUUCCCAACUGCAUCAUCAUAGGCUUCAGCACUGGACCAAUCCUGAAGGGGAAAAUGAAGGGGGCUGGCUGGUUUACAGAUGGAUGAACUCAUUGAGAACCCUAGCACCUGAGCCCUGAGUUCAAUUUAAUAUUGUAGCCUACAGCACUUUGCCGCUACUGCAUGCAACCUCAUGACAAGAAUUACUGAAGGAAGGUCUCUGCAAUGAAGGAGCCAAACGUCUUCUGUUCCUUGCAGUAGAAAUGGCAAACAUCCAUGAGCAGAGAUGGCCGGGGUCUCCAGCCCUGGCUGGCUGUUACAAUGAGCAUCCAGGGAAAGAAGUUUUCUGCUGACCUGUGAUCAAGGGAAAUGAAAGAUGAGAGAAGAUAAAUCAAAUCUGCUUCUUGUCUAUUCUUGUCUAUCCAACUCUUGCUCCACAUGCAAUGAUAAACUUUCAGGCCAAAUAAAGGAAAAUCUGAAGCAAGCCUAAGGAAGACCAAGGAAGUGCCUGAGGAAGAUCUCCCUUUGGCAACAGGUCUCAUGGUCUGAGAAAAAGACAGCAGACAAAAAUGCAUUUUUUUGGUAACUGCGAAGAAAGGCAGAGAGUUUUCGAACAGCACAGCAUGAGUUAACCCUCUUAUCACCUGCUGCCAAAUGCGCUCAUGCAUCUUUAGUACAAUGCCAAGCAGAUGCAUUCAGAUUCUUUAUAAGACUGAGGUACCAAACCUGUACUUCACACUGUGAGUGAGCAACAACACAUUGUUGCAUGGAGCAAUAACACAUUACUGCAGGCGGGAUUUGGUGAGAAUCUGUGUAAGAUUGCUUUUGCAGAGGCCACUUGCACAAAAGCCUCUGCUGCAGCAACAUUGUCUUCCAUCUUGAUCUUCUAGAAAUAAAAAAAAAGAAAGGUUUACAAAAUUACUGUGUCUUGCCUGUGAAAGAUGAAUCAUAGUGCUUUUCAAUAGAGCUGCAGGUUGUCAGGGGACCCUCGUCAAGGUUAUUGUUUUGAGCACCUGCAAAAAACACAUUUUUUUAAGGCUUUCUACCACUUAGAAAAGAAAUGAGAAAGGAGAUGAGAACAGACAGAUGAAAACUCGACUUAGCUGACUGCAAGCUUCUGUCACCCGGGGAAAUGUGAAGCAAAUUACACAGCACAAUCCAAACAAUAUGAAAUCGGUUUAAACAGA